GCCUCAGGACCAGCGUGGAGUCUUCAAGAAGAUGUGGGCCCACGUCCACCCUGACAGGAGGCCUGAGCCACCUCAGGACCCGCGGGGAGGUUUCAGAAAAUUGUGGGCCCGCAUCCACAGUGACAGGAGCCCCUCAGCAGCCUCAAGACCCACGGGGAGGCUUCAGGAAGAUAUGGGCCCGCAUCUACGCUGACAGGAGCCCCUGAGCCACCUCAGGACCUGCGGGGAGGCUUCAGGAAGAUGUGGUGCGACAUCCACUCUGGCAGGAGCUCCCAGGCCCCUCAGUACAUAAGUUGAGGCUUCUGGAAGCUGGGGGCUGCAUUCAUGGUUACAGGAGCCCCGGCCUCCUCAGAACCCUUGGUGACACUUCAGGAGGACUUGGGGCCACAUGGACACAACAGGACGGUGACUUCCUCAGGACCCCAGGUGUAGACAUGGGGAAAUAUGGGGAUGCGUCCAUGGGGACAGAAGACCCCAGCUUUGUCAGGGCCUGUGGUGAAGCCUAAGAAAAAUGUGGGUGCCGCAUCCACACUGACAGGAUUCUCCAGCCUUCUCAGAACCCACUGUGAAGGUUUGGGAAGAUUAUGUGCCACAUCCCUGCUGACAGGAGCCCCGAGCCUCCUCAGGUCUUAUGGUGAGGCUUGAGGAAAAUGUGGGGCCACGUCAACCCUGACAGGAACCCCGUCCUCCUCAGGACAAGCACUUUGGCUUCAGGACAUAUGGGGCUGCGUCUAUGCUGACAGGAGCCCACAGUCCCCUCAGGACCUGCGGUGAGUUUUCUAGGGGACGUGGGGCCAUGUCCAGACUGACAGGAGCCCCCGGCUUCCUGAGGACCUGCUGUGAGGCUUCCAGAGGAUGUGAGACAUAGUCCACAAUGCCAGGAGACCCGGCGUCCUCAGGACCUGCUGACUAUGACUCAGGAACACGUUGGGCCAUGUCCACACUCACAGGAGCCCGGCUCGCUUGGACCCCCUGAGGACUCUGGAGGAGCCAUUGGGGGCCACGUCUACAUCAGAAGGGACUCCUCAGAACCACAGGGAUCAGCACUUUGGCUUCAGGACAUAUGGGGCUGCGUCUAUGCUGACAGGAGCCCACAGCCCCCUCAGGACCCGCAGUGAGUUUUCUGGGGGCCAUGGGGCCAUAUCCAGGCUGACAGGAGCCCUUGGCCUCCUGAGGACCUGCUGUGAGGCUUCCAGAGGAUGUGAGGCAUAGUCCACAGUGACAGGAGACCCGGCAUCCUCAGGAUCCGCUGACUAUGACUCAGGAACACAUGGGGCCACAUCCACACUCACAGGAUCCUGGCUUCCUCAGGACCCCCUGGAGGACUCUGGAGGUGCCAUUGGGGGCCACGUCCAUGUCAGAAGGGACUACUCAGAACCACAGGGUAAGUGAAUGGGUAGAAUGAAUGGUAGGGUCAGGGGAGGGGAGGCAGUUGGUGGUUAAGUUAGGCUAGA
rnacentral:lncRNA from 12 species